rnacentral:rRNA from 1 species
GGGCCCGCACAAGUGGUGGAGCAUGUGGUUUAAUUCGAUGCAACGCGAAGAACCUUACCAACCCUUGAAAUCUAGCGAAGUUCACAGAGAUGAGAAUGUGCCUUCGGGAACGCUAUGACAGGUGUUGCAUGGCUGUCGUCAGCUCGUGUCGUGAGAUGUAUGGUUAAGUCCUUUAACGAGCGCAACCCUUGUACUUAGUUGACUUUGGUGACUCUAAGUAGACUGCCCACUAGGAUAGUGGAGAAAGGUAAGGAUGACGUCAAGUCCUCAUGGCCCUUAUGAACUGGGCUACACACGUGUUACAAUGGUAAGAACAAUGAGAAGCGAUCUUGUAAAAGUGAGC